rnacentral:rRNA from 1 species
AACGAACGCUGGCGGCAGGCUUAACACAUGCAAGUCGAACGCAUCGCAAGAUGAGUGGCAGACGGGUGAGUAACGCGUGGGAACAUACCCUUUUCUACGGAAUAGCUCUGGGAAACUGGAAUUAAUACCGUAUACGCCCUACGGGGGAAAGAUUUAUCGGGGAAGGAUUGGCCCGCGUUGGAUUAGCUAGUUGGUGGGGUAAAGGCCUACCAAGGCGACGAUCCAUAGCUGGUCUGAGAGGAUGAUCAGCCACAUUGGGACUGAGACACGGCCCAAACUCCUACGGGAGGCAGCAGUGGGGAAUAUUGGACAAUGGGCGCAAGCCUGAUCCAGCCAUGCCGCGUGAGUGAUGAAGGCCUUAGGGUUGUAAAGCUCUUUCACCGAUGAAGAUAAUGACGGUAGUCGGAGAAGAAGCCCCGGCUAACUUCGUGCCAGCCGCCGCCGUAA